UACAUGGGGUGCAAGCGUUGCUCGGAAUCAUUGGGCGUAAAGCGCGCGUAGGCGGUUAUUUAAGUUGGAUGUGAAAGCCCUCGGCUUAACUGAGGAAGUGCAUCCAAAACUGAAUAGCUAGAGUACGAAAGAGGGUCGCGGAAUUCCCGGUGUAGAGGUGAAAUUCGUAGAUAUCGGGAGGAACACCGGUGGCGAAGGCGGCGACCUGGGUCGAGACUGACGCUGAGGCGCGAAAGCGUGGGGAGCAAACAGG
rnacentral:rRNA from 1 species